rnacentral:rRNA from 1 species
AUUGAACGCUGGCGGCUCGCCUUACACAUGCAAGUCGCACGGCAGCACGGGGCAACCUCGUCUCGAGUGGCGAACGGGUGAGUAAUGCAUCGGAACGUACCUUUCAGUGGGGGAUAACGUAGAGUGAGUUACGCUAAUACAGCAUAUUCUGUGAGCGGGAAAGCAGGGGAUCGCAAUACCUCGCGCUGAGUGAGCGGCCGAUGUCAGAUUAGCCAGUUGGUGAGGUAAAGGCUCACCAAGGCGACGAUCUGUAGCGGGUCUGAGAGGUUGCCCCGCCACACUAGAACUGAGACACGGUCCAGACUCCUACGGGAGGCAGCAGUGGGGAAUUUUGGACAAUGGGGGCAACCCUGAUCCAGCAAUGCCGCGUGAGUGAAGAAGGCCUUCGGGUUGUAAAGCUCUUUCGGCCGGGAAGAAAUCGCACAGGCUAAUACCCUGUCUGGAUGAUGGUACCGGAAUAAGAAGCACCGGCUAACUACGUGCCAGCCGCCGCGGUAAGAC